rnacentral:rRNA from 1 species
CAGCCGCCGCGGUAAUGCGAAGGGUGCAAGCGUUGUUCGGAAUUACUGGGCGUAAAGCGUGCGUAGGUGGUGGUUUAAGUCCGUUGUGAAAGCCCCGGGCUCAACCUGGGAAUGGCAGUGGAUACUGGCUCGCUAGAGUGUGUCAGAGGAUGGUGGAAUUCCCGGUGUAGCGGUGAAAUGCGUAGAGAUCGGGAGGAACAUCAGUGGCGAAGGCGGCCAUCUGGGACAACACUGACGCUGAGGCACGAAAGCGUGGGGAGCAAACAGGAUUAGAUACCCCAGUAGUCCCUGUCUCUUAUAA